AUUGAACGCUGGCGGCAGGCUUAACACAUGCAAGUCGAGCGAGCGGCGGACGGGUGAGUAAUGUCUGGGAACCUGCCUGAUGGAGGGGGAUAACUACUGGAAACGGGAGCUAAUACCGCAUACCAUCAGAUGUGCCCAUAUGGGAUUAGCUAGUAGGUGGGGUAAUGGCUCACCUAGGCGACGAUCCCUAGCUGGUCUGAGAGGAUGACCAGCCACACGGGAACAGAGGAACGGGCCAGAGUCCUACGGGAGGACGCAGGGGGGAAUAUGGCACAAUGGGCGAAAGCCUGAUGCAGCCAUGCCGCGUGUGUGCAGAGGGCCUUCGGGUUGUAAAGUACUUUCAGCGAGGAGGCGUUACUCGCAGAAGAAGCACCGGCUAACUCCGUGCCAGCAGCCGCGGUAAUUC
rnacentral:rRNA from 1 species